rnacentral:lncRNA from 1 species
CAGGGACAUGAUCUAGGGGCUUAGAGGGCCCUGGAAAAGUAAGAUAAUAUAUUUUAAAGACCCAAUUUUACACAAAAGAACAAAAAGAGGAAGAACUAUAGCAGAAUGCCACUGCUGUGGAUUCAGACUUCACCUCCCUGCCCACGGAGAUGAUUGAAGGGGAAAAAGGACAGAACAUGAAACUAACAAGCUUGAGGCCUUAUCAGUGUCUAUAUUGGCAAAUUGAGGAGCGAUGCACUCCCCAAGGCUGAAUGUUUUUCUACCAAUGCAUAAGAUCUACCAGCCACAGACAGGCACUGUUUUUAGAUGGUCUUGAGGCAUCUCAUUUUACAAAGGAUAUAGAAACAGACGGAUGCUAUAUAGAAACUGGUGGAGUGGGGUGGAAGAGAAGACAGAAGACAAGGGUUAUAAUUUAAUCAUAUAAACUCUGGAUGCAAUAACCAAGGUCUCCCCAGAAAGCUGUCAGUGUAUACUUGUGUGGUGAGUAGAU